GAUGAACGCUGGCGGCGUGCUUAACACAUGCAAGUCGAACGGUGAACGAGGGAGCUUGCUCCCUCCGGAUCAGUGGCGAACGGGUGAGUAACACGUGAGUAAUCUGCCCUGGACUCUGGGAUAAGCGUUGGAAACGACGUCUAAUACCGGAUACGAGGCGUGGGGGCAUCCCCAACGCCUGGAAAGAACUUCGGCCCAGGAUGAGCUCGCGGCCUAUCAGGUAGUUGGUGAGGUAAUGGCUCACCAAGCCUACGACGGGUAGCCGGCCUGAGAGGGUGACCGGCCACACUGGGACUGAGACACGGCCCAGACUCCUACGGGAGGCAGCAGUGGGGAAUAUUGCACAAUGGGCGAAAGCCUGAUGCAGCAACGCCGCGUGAGGGACGACGGCCUUCGGGUUGUAAACCUCUUUUAGCAGGGAAGAAGCGAAAGUGACGGUACCUGCAGAAAAAGCACCGGCUAACUGGGUGCCAGCCGCCGCAGUAAAAC
rnacentral:rRNA from 1 species